rnacentral:rRNA from 1 species
UUAAGCGACUAAGCGUACACGGUGGAUGCCCUGGCAGUCAGAGGCGAUGAAGGACGUGCUAAUCUGCGAUAAGCGUCGGUAAGGUGAUAUGAACCGUUAUAACCGGCGAUUUCCGAAUGGGGAAACCCAGUGUGUUUCGACACACUAUCAUUAACUGAAUCCAUAGGUUAAUGAGGCGAACCGGGGGAACUGAAACAUCUAAGUACCCCGAGGAAAAGAAAUCAACCGAGAUUCCCCCAGUAGCGGCGAGCGAACGGGGAGGAGCCCAGAGCCUGAAUCAGUAUGUGUGUUAGUGGAAGCGUCUGGAAAGGCGCGCGAUACAGGGUGACAGCCCCGUACACAAAAAUGCACAUGCUGUGAGCUCGAUGAGUAGGGCGGGACACGUGGUAUCCUGUCUGAAUAUGGGGGGACCAUCCUCCAAGGCUAAAUACUCCUGACUGACCGAUAGUGAACCAGUACCGUGAGGGAAAGGCGAAAAGAACCCCGGCGAGGGGAGUGAAAAAGAACCUGAAACCGUGUACGUACAAGCAGUGGGAGCACAGAGCAAUCUGUGUGACUGCGUACCUUUUGUAUAAUGGGUCAGCGACUUAUAUUCUGUAGCAAGGUUAACCGAAUAGGGGAGCCGAAGGGAAACCGAGUCUUAACUGGGCGUUAAGUUGCAGGGUAUAGACCCGAAACCCGGUGAUCUAGCCAUGGGCAGGUUGAAGGUUGGGUAACACUAACUGGAGGACCGAACCGACUAAUGUUGAAAAAUUAGCGGAUGACUUGUGGCUGGGGGUGAAAGGCCAAUCAAACCGGGAGAUAGCUGGUUCUCCCCGAAAGCUAUUUAGGUAGCGCCUCGUGAAUUCAUCUCCGGGGGUAGAGCACUGUUUCGGCAAGGGGGUCAUCCCGACUUACCAACCCGAUGCAAACUGCGAAUACCGGAGAAUGUUAUCACGGGAGACACACGGCGGGUGCUAACGUCCGUCGUGAAGAGGGAAACAACCCAGACCGCCAGCUAAGGUCCCAAAGUCAUGGUUAAGUGGGAAACGAUGUGGGAAGGCCCAGACAGCCAGGAUGUUGGCUUAGAAGCAGCCAUCAUUUAAAGAAAGCGUAAUAGCUCACUGGUCGAGUCGGCCUGCGCGGAAGAUGUAACGGGGCUAAACCAUGCACCGAAGCUGCGGCAGCGACGCUGAUGCGUUGUUGGGUAGGGGAGCGUUCUGUAAGCCUGCGAAGGUGUGCUGUGAGGCAUGCUGGAGGUAUCAGAAGUGCGAAUGCUGACAUAAGUAACGAUAAAGCGGGUGAAAAGCCCGCUCGCCGGAAGACCAAGGGUUCCUGUCCAACGUUAAUCGGGGCAGGGUGAGUCGACCCCUAAGGCGAGGCCGAAAGGCGUAGUCGAUGGGAAACAGGUUAAUAUUCCUGUACUUGGUGUUACUGUGAAGGGGGGACGGAGAAGGCUAUGUUGGCCGGGCGACGGUUGUCCCGGUUUAAGCGUGUAGGCUGGUUUUCCAGGCAAAUCCGGAAAACUAAGGCUGAGGCGUGAUGACGAGGCACUACGGUGCUGAAGCAACAAAUGCCCUGCUUCCAGGAAAAGCCUCUAAGCAUCAGGUAACAUCAAAUCGUACCCCAAACCGACACAGGUGGUCAGGUAGAGAAUACCAAGGCGCUUGAGAGAACUCGGGUGAAGGAACUAGGCAAAAUGGUGCCGUAACUUCGGGAGAAGGCACGCUGAUAUGUAGGUGAAGUCCCUCGCGGAUGGAGCUGAAAUCAGUCGAAGAUACCAGCUGGCUGCAACUGUUUAUUAAAAACACAGCACUGUGCAAACACGAAAGUGGACGUAUACGGUGUGACGCCUGCCCGGUGCCGGAAGGUUAAUUGAUGGGGUCAGCGCAAGCGAAGCUCUUGAUCGAAGCCCCGGUAAACGGCGGCCGUAACUAUAACGGUCCUAAGGUAGCGAAAUUCCUUGUCGGGUAAGUUCCGACCUGCACGAAUGGCGUAAUGAUGGCCAGGCUGUCUCCACCCGAGACUCAGUGAAAUUGAACUCGCUGUGAAGAUGCAGUGUACCCGCGGCAAGACGGAAAGACCCCGUGAACCUUUACUAUAGCUUGACACUGAACAUUGAGCCUUGAUGUGUAGGAUAGGUGGGAGGCUUUGAAGUGUGGACGCCAGUCUGCAUGGAGCCGACCUUGAAAUACCACCCUUUAAUGUUUGAUGUUCUAACGUUGACCCGUAAUCCGGGUUGCGGACAGUGUCUGGUGGGUAGUUUGACUGGGGCGGUCUCCUCCUAAAGAGUAACGGAGGAGCACGAAGGUUGGCUAAUCCUGGUCGGACAUCAGGAGGUUAGUGCAAUGGCAUAAGCCAGCUUGACUGCGAGCGUGACGGCGCGAGCAGGUGCGAAAGCAGGUCAUAGUGAUCCGGUGGUUCUGAAUGGAAGGGCCAUCGCUCAACGGAUAAAAGGUACUCCGGGGAUAACAGGCUGAUACCGCCCAAGAGUUCAUAUCGACGGCGGUGUUUGGCACCUCGAUGUCGGCUCAUCACAUCCUGGGGCUGAAGUAGGUCCCAAGGGUAUGGCUGUUCGCCAUUUAAAGUGGUACGCGAGCUGGGUUUAGAACGUCGUGAGACAGUUCGGUCCCUAUCUGCCGUGGGCGCUGGAGAACUGAGGGGGGCUGCUCCUAGUACGAGAGGACCGGAGUGGACGCAUCACUGGUGUUCGGGUUGUCAUGCCAAUGGCACUGCCCGGUAGCUAAAUGCGGAAGAGAUAAGUGCUGAAAGCAUCUAAGCACGAAACUUGCCCCGAGAUGAGUUCUCCCUGACUCCUUGAGAGUCCUGAAGGAACGUUGAAGACGACGACGUUGAUAGGCCGGAUGUGUAAGCGCAGCGAUGCGUUGAGCUAACCGGUACUAAUGAACCGUGAGGCUUAACCU